AAACAUGCAAGUCGAGCGAACUGAUUAGAAGCUUGCUUCUAUGACGUUAGCGGCGGACGGGUGAGUAACACGUGGGCAACCUGCCUGUAAGACUGGGAUAACUUCGGGAAACCGAAGCUAAUACCGGAUAGGAUCUUCUCCUUCAUGGGAGAUGAUUGAAAGAUGGUUUCGGCUAUCACUUACAGAUGGGCCCGCGGUGCAUUAGCUAGUUGGUGAGGUAACGGCUCACCAAGGCAACGAUGCAUAGCCGACCUGAGAGGGUGAUCGGCCACACUGGGACUGAGACACGGCCCAGACUCCUACGGGAGGCAGCAGUAGGGAAUCUUCCGCAAUGGACGAAAGUCUGACGGAGCAACGCCGCGUGAGUGAUGAAGGCUUUCGGGUCGUAAAACUCUGUUGUUAGGGAAGAACAAGUACGAGAGUAACUGCUUGUACCUUGACGGUACCUAACCGGAAAGCCACGGCUAACUACGUGCCAGCAGCCGCGGUAAUACGUAGUGGCAAGCGAUAUCCGGAAAUUAUUGGGCGUAAAACGGCGC
rnacentral:rRNA from 1 species